rnacentral:rRNA from 1 species
UACGUAGGUGGCAAGCGUUGUCCGGAAUUAUUGGGCGUAAAGCGCGCGCAGGCGGUCUUUUAAGUCUGAUGUGAAAGCCCCCGGCUCAACCGGGGAGGGUCAUUGGAAACUGGGAGACUUGAGUGCAGAAGAGAAGAGUGGAAUUCCACGUGUAGCGGUGAAAUGCGUAGAGAUGUGGAGGAACACCAGUGGCGAAGGCGACUCACUGGCCCGGUACUGACGCUGAGGUGCGAAAGCGUGGGGAGCAAACAGG